rnacentral:rRNA from 1 species
CAUUAUCGAACUCUGAAAGCGGGCUGUUGCUGGCCGAGCGGGCACGUGCACGCCUGUUUUUAUUUGCUUCUCCAACUGUGCACAAAUAUCGUAGACCUUAGCAAGGCCUAUGUUUUUCACAACCUCUUCUUGAAUGUAUCAGAAUGUAUUUUGGAUGCACAUAUAUAUACAACUUUCAGCAACGGAUCUCUUGGCUCUCGCAUCGAUGAAGAACGCAGCGAAAUGCGAUAAGUAAUGUGAAUUGCAGAAUUCAGUGAAUCAUCGAAUCUUUGAACGCAUCUUGCGCUCCUUGGUAUUCCGAGGAGCAUGCCUGUUUGAGUGUCAUUUGAACCUUCUCAAGCCCCCCCUCCCCCUAGAGCGGUGGCUUGGAAAUGGGGGGAAGUUUGCAGGAUUGCAAAGUCCUGCUCCCCUGAAACGCAUCAGCGGCGUCUUGGCAGACGACCCAGGGUGUGAUACAAACAUCAGCGCCAUGGGGCUGCGGAUUUGCCGCCGCUUUUCCAAUCUUUUGACCAACUUGACCUCAAAUCAGGUAGGACUACCCGCUGAACUUAAGCAUAUCAAUAA